UACGUAGGGCGCAAGCGUUGUCCGGAAUUAUUGGGCGUAAAGAGCUCGUAGGCGGCUUGUCACGUCGGGUGUGGAAGCCCGGGGCUUAACCCCGGGUCUGCAUUCGAUACGGGCUAGCUAGAGUGUGGUAGGGGAGAUCGGAAUUCCUGGUGUAGCGGUGAAAUGCGCAGAUAUCAGGAGGAACACCAACAGCGAAGGCAGCACUCUGGGCCGGUACUGACGCUGAGGAGCGAAAGCAUGGGGAGCGAACAGG
rnacentral:rRNA from 1 species